UACGUAGGGGGCAAGCGUUGUCCGGAUUUAUUGGGCGUAAAGAGCGUGUAGGCGGCCAGGUAGGUCAGCUGUGAAAACUCGAGGCUCAACCUCGAGACGUCGGUUGAAACCACUUGGCUAGAGUCCGGAAGAGGAGAGUGGAAUUCCUGGUGUAGCGGUGAAAUGCGCAGAUAUCAGGAAGAACACCCCUGGCGAAGGCCGCUCUCUGGGACGGUACUGACGCUGGGAAGCGAAAGCGUGGGGAGCGAACAGG
rnacentral:rRNA from 1 species